CCGAGUUAUACAACUCAUCAACCCUGUGAACAUACCUAUAACGUUGCCUCGGCGGGAACAGACGGCCCCGUAACACGGGCCGCCCUCGCCAGAGGACCCCCUAACUCUGUUUCUAUAAUGUUUCUUCUGAGUAAACAAGCAAAUAAAUUA
rnacentral:misc_RNA from 1 species